UUGUACAGGUGCUGCAUGGCUGUCGUCAGCUCGUGUCGUGAGAUGUUCGGUUAAGUCCGCUAACGAGCGCAACCCUCGCUGUGUGUUACAAGUGUCACACGGAACUGCCGGUCAUAAACCGGAGGAAGGUGGGGAUGACGUCAAGUCAGCAUGGCCUUUAUAUCCUGGGCUACACACACGCUACAAUGGGAAGGGACAAUAGGUUGCGAAGCCGCGAGGCGGAGCCAAUCCAGCAAAACUUCCCUCAGUUCAGAUUGCAGGCUGCAACUCGCCUGCAUGAAGUUGGAGUUGCUAGUAAACGCAGGUCAGCUAUACUGCGGUGAAUACGUUCCCGGGGCUU
rnacentral:rRNA from 1 species